UCUGGAAUUAGGGAUUUUUGGAAUUCGCGCAUUGCAACAAAGAAACCCCAACUAGUUACCUUUCUCAAUUCUAGCUGUAGCCUUUCUGCCAGAAUCUCGUCGCUUGGCUUACCGGAGCCUCGCCGAAACAUUUAAGAGAAUCGCACGCUUGCACACUGCUGAGUCAGGUCUCCACCGGCUGUUUUUCACUAUUAUUUAGUGUUUUAUAACAUUUUAUUAAUGUUAAUUGACUGUUAAUACUUUAUUUAAUAGUAAUUAGCUAUUGACUAAGACUGUUGGCUGUUGAAAGUGUUUGUGUUAUUAAAAUUAAAAUGAGAUGUUUUGGGAAUAAAAUAGGGUAACCAUGAUCUCCUCGAAUAAAAAGUGAGGAAAUGGUUGAUAGGAUAAAAGAAGGUAAUUCUGGUGAUCUUGAGUAGACCACCUCGACUAGGUGUUAAUCUUGAGACCAUGAUCAGACCAUCUCGACUAGGUGGUAACUUCAAUAAGCAUGAGCAGACCACCUCGAUCAGGUGGUAAUCUUGAGACCAUGAGUAGACCACCUCGACUAGGAGGUAAUUUUGGUAACCAUGAGCUGACCACCUCGACUAGGUGGUAAUUCUUAGGACCUUAAGCAAGUUAUCUUGACCAAGUGGAAAUUCUUGUGACCUCAAGCAAACGAGUUUGAGGAGGCAUUGGACCGAGUCACCAAGAAGAAGGACUCAUUAAAAUAACCGCCACAAAUCACCUUUAAAAAAUAGGGCAUGAAUUUAAUUCAUUAAUUGCCACAAUCUAAGGUCGUGGGUGUGGGGUGUUUAUAAAAACCCAAAGAAAAUCAUACCAGAGAGAGGUUGAACUUUAAAACCCAAAGAAAAUCAUACCAGAGAGAUGUUGAACUUUCUUUUUUAAUUUUUAUUUUAUUCUUUUGAUUACAUUUUACUUAAGAUUAUUUAUUUAUAAAAACUAGAAAUGACAUAUUUUGUUUUUCUUGUAAACCCGAUAACUGACUUGAUGCUGGAAAAUUUUUUGGCACCUCUAAUUAUUCUCUGUAAUUUCAUAUACUUGUUGAUCAUCAGUUUCAAGAUUAUCUGCUUGUAAAUAUUCUGCUCAUAGUCAAAGAAUAUUCUUGGAGAUCAACAAGCAUCUUCCCACCAAACAAAUUUAAUGCUGAUGCAGUGAUUUGAGUCACUAACCAACUUGUUCAGAUUUGGGCAUCAACAUGAGUAAUUUUUGUUUUAAAAUAUUAUUUUAACAAAAUUAGUAUUGAUAAUGAUGUGGCUAUUGAGAGCUGACUUUUGUUUCUUAUUUUUAUUGUGUAUACUAGCAGUGUUUUAGCUGAAAGGAGGGGAAGUCAUACUUUUGAAGGCUGUGUUGAAGUAACCUAAACCUGAUUGAGGUUGGGAAUGAUAGAGGAUUAAACACUUGAAAUGGAAGAAUCAAAGACGACAGGGAAAAGGAAAACACCUGAAGAAGAUUCACAUGUCAGGGGAACCCCUAAGGAAGAAUCGACCAAGAACCAACGAAAUCCGACACGCUCAAGUGUACAUGAGGUUGCAGUACCCAG
rnacentral:lncRNA from 1 species